rnacentral:rRNA from 1 species
CGGCGCACGGGUGCGUAACGCGUAUGCAAUCUACCUUUUACAGAGGGAUAGCCCAGAGAAAUUUGGAUUAAUACCUCAUAGUAUAUAGCCCUGGCAUCAGGAUUAUAUUAAAGUCACAACGGUAAAAGAUGAGCAUGCGUCCCAUUAGCUAGUUGGUAAGGUAACGGCUUACCAAGGCUACGAUGGGUAGGGGUCCUGAGAGGGAGAUCCCCCACACUGGUACUGAGACACGGACCAGACUCCUACGGGAGGCAGCAGUGAGGAAUAUUGGACAAUGGGCGCAAGCCUGAUCCAGCCAUGCCGCGUGCAGGAUGACGGUCCUAUGGAUUGUAAACUGCUUUUAUACGAGAAGAAACACUCCUUCGUGAAGGAGCUUGACGGUAUCGUAAGAAUAAGGAUCGGCUAACUCCGUGCCAGCAGCCGCGGUAAUACGGAGGAUCCAAGCGUUAUCCGGAAUCAUUGGGUUUAAAGGGUCCGUAGGCGGUUUAAUAAGUCAGUGGUGAAAGCCCAUCGCUCAACGGUGGAACGGCCAUUGAUACUGUUAGACUUGAAUUAUUAGGAAGUAACUAGAAUAUGUAGUGUAGCGGUGAAAUGCUUAGAGAUUACAUGGAAUACCAUUUGCGAAGGCAGGUUACUACUAAUUGAUUGACGCUGAUGGACGAAAGCGUGGGUAGCGAACAGG